UACGAAGGGGGCUAGCGUUACUCGGAUUGACUGGGCGUAAAGGGCGCGUAGGCGGCGCGGUAAGUCGGGUGUGAAAUCUCGGGGCUUAACUCCGAAACUGCAUUCGAUACUGCCGUGAUUGAGGACUGGAGAGGAGACUGGAAUUUACGGUGUAGCGGUGAAAUGCGCAGAUAUCAGGAGGAACACCAAUGGCGAAGGCAGCUCGCUGGGACGGUACUGACGCUGAGACGCGAAAGCGUGGGGAGCAAACAGG
rnacentral:rRNA from 1 species